rnacentral:rRNA from 1 species
UACGUAGGGGGCGAGCGUUGUCCGAAGUUACUGGGCGUAGAGCGCGCGUAGGCGGUUCUCUAAGUCUGAGGUGAAAGGUUCAGCGCUCAACGUGAACAGUGCCUUGGAGACUGGGGGACUUGAGUGUGGGAGGGGGCAGUGGAAUUCCUGGUGUAGCGGUGAAAUGCGUAGAUAUCAGGAGGAACACCGAUGGCGAAGGCGGGUUGCUGGGCUGAUACUGACGCUGAGGCGCGAAAGCUAGGGGAGCGAACGGG